AUGAAGUCGGAAUUGCUAGUAAUCGUGGAUCAGCAUGCCACGGUGAAUACGUUCCCGGGCCUUGUACACACCGCCCGUCACACCAUGGGAGUCGGUAACACCCGAAGCCUGUAGUCUAACCGCAAGGAGGACGCAGUCGAAGGUGGGAUUGAUGACUGGGGUGAAGUCGUAACAAGGUACC
rnacentral:rRNA from 1 species